rnacentral:lncRNA from 13 species
UGAGAAUCUGGUCUUUUGAUUCUGGGAAUGAAUUAUAAGUGAGGAUAAUUGGUUUUUACCACAUGGUUGGUUGACUGUGUGAAUGGAUGGAUUGAACUUCAAAGCCAGAUUAUAUUCCCUGUUCUGCUUGGUAUGAAUCCAAUUUCAGUCAGAAAAGAUAGGCAGUGAAGCAGUUUUGUGCCUUGUCACACCCAUGUCUGUUGCAGAUGCAGUAAUAAUCUGUUACUUGCUGAGGAAAACAGAAGAUCUGUAUUCAAGAGAAAUGGUCUUUUUGUUUUAUAGGUAACUGAUACCAGGCAAUAUGUGAACAACAUUAAAUUGCUUCAUAUACAAGAAAAAAUAUUAAAAGAAUAAUAAAGUGCAGGAAUAUUUGCAAUUCCAAAAAUAAUGAAUAUACAAAGUGUUUAAAAAAUCAUAUUGUUCAGAAACGAGAACUCUGUUCUUUCAUUAUCAGGUUUUUACUCUUUUGACAGCUGCAGAAGUCAAGGCUGACAACAAAGGGAUGGUGUAGCUCUUCAAAAUGGAUCUUACAUGGUUCCACCUGGAGCAUCCUCCUCUCAGUAACAUCUGCUGCACUCCCAAAUGGAUCCCCAUGUGCAGUGUGUGCAUCCACCUAGAAGAUCAUGAGGCAGUGGUAACUAGCAGCAUUCCUGCAGGCUUAAACACUGAAAAUUACUUCACAAGAUGGAUACAAAAGGAGAUUUUGUCAGUAUACUUGCUGAGCUUUUGGGAAGUCUAAUGUUGAAGAACAUUGGUAAUUUCACUCUUAAGAAACAAAGGUAUACUCACUGGAAAGCUGAUC